UGCCGACAAGCUCGGCUCGCCGAGCUAAUGGGUCGCUUUCUCGCGGCUGUUACUAAGUACCGCACUGUUGACUGACACACGGAUCUCUGAUUUUGUGUCGAGGCAAUGAAGAUAUGACAAAGGCCGGAGGUGAGGCCGCUGCCACGGCACUUAGUCCUGCGACUCCCCUACGGACGGGCUGAGGUGGCCGGCUAGCCACUUCCCAGUCCUGUCCCUACGGGGCCAAAAAAGGCCCCGCAUCCCGGGAUCCCGAGGGUCGCUUCCCUCGCUGCGUCCCCGUUUUGCGGCUGCCGGUCUAAAAAUUGAUCCUGGCGACAGUGAGACCCUGUCAAAAAAAAAAGGAAGCAGACAAGUUGUUGAAAUUAUAUAGUGACAGCGAUAACCAAGAACUAAUGAAAAACAGAAAAACAUUGCAUAGAGCCAAAAAUGAAGAUCUUUACUGUGUGUUCAUUCAAUGAAUUUGACAACAAAGAAGUAAAGACACAUCACUGAUGGGUUUGUUGGUCAUGAAACAAGCUAGAAUAUUCCAUGAAGAACUGGAACAACCUCUUCAAGAUGCUCAGGCAAUCAGAGCAUAUUUCUUCAAUUGGGGUGAGCUAAACUUGCACAGAAGAGACUUGACUUGGAAAGUAGAGAGAAUCCCAGAGGGGAGAGAAACAGCAGCAACUCCAUCUUGGUCAUAGAAGAGCCAGCAUGGGGAAACUUCUUUAUUCUGCUGUCCAAAUAUAAAAUCUAUACAGAAAUAGCUCCUUUGUCCCUUAAUCUUAGUAAGCAAAUUUGAUUAGGCAUUUGAAAGCUACAGAGGUGCAAGGUGGGAGAAAUUCUGCCUCUGCUAUUUGGCAGCUCUGUGACAUUGGGCAAACCAGUCUUAGUACAUUUAUUUUCCUUUUAUCCAAAAUGAACAUAAUAAUACCUUCUUACUUACCUUACUGGGUUACUGGAAUGAUCACAGUGUUUGGUUGGUUGGUUGUUUCAAGGAGGUAAUAAUAUAUGUGAGAAUAAAUGGUAUAUGGAAAAGCAUUAAAUAAUAGUGCCGAAACAUUAUGCAUAUUAACAUGCCUUUAAAUCUGUUUCCGUAUCAUUCCAUCAUUUAUU